ACUUCAUAAGUAUAACCCGUACGUCUUCCUUCCAAGUUGAAAGUUUGGUCUCCUCCAAAUGAAGUA
rnacentral:tRNA from 1 species